GGGCAUGUCAGACCGCUGUCUCCCUCUCAAGCCAUAGGGAUUGAUGGUGUCUAAAAACAUGCUAGAGUCAAUCUACUGGAGUCCACAGGGCCAUCAAUCUUAAAGAGAUGAUUAUUUGGUAGUAUAGGACUCCAACAGAA